CUGGUCUUGACAUGCUAGGAAUCCUGCAGAAAUAUGGGAGUGCCGCAAGGAACCUAGACACAGGUGCUGCAUGGCUGUCGUCAGCUCGUGUCGUGAGAUGUUAGGUUAAGUCCCGCAACGAGCGCAACCCUUGUCAUUAGUUGCUACAUUCAGUUGGGCACUCUAAUGAGACUGCCGGUGACAAACCGGAGGAAGGUGGGGAUGACGUCAAGUCCUCAUGGCCCUUAUGGGUAGGGCUUCACACGUAAUACAAUGGCGCGUACAGAGGGUUGCCAAGCCGCGAGGUGGAGCCAAUCCCAGAAAGCGCGUCGUAGUCCGGAUCGCAGUCUGCAACUCGACUGCGUGAAGUCGGAAUCGCUAGUAAUCGCGGAUCAGCACGCCGCGGUGAAUA
rnacentral:rRNA from 1 species